UAAUUAAAUCCAAUACUAUUAAUUUGUGUAAUGUCAAUUUCAGGCAAACUUAAUUUUAUGAUCGCUGUACCAAGUAAUUGUAAUUAGUAGUAGUAGAAUUGUAUGAAAAUAUUGCCAAUAUUUCAUUCCUAUUUAAUUUUCCAAAGAAAUUCCUGUCGGAUUGAAUAUACAGUGGAGCACAUUUCUUCCAAGUUACUAAUGUAACACACGUUUUUUUCAACCUUGAUCUUCAUCAUUCUGUUUAUAAUAUAAAAGAACAUUAAAUGCAAUAUCAUUAAUUUAUGUAAUGUUAAUUUUAGACAAACUAGAUUUUUCCAUCUGUAUACCGGAUUCAGAUUUAAGACCCAUUCCAGUUAUGGACAAACUGCUUGAUUACCAGGAUAUUAUGGGAUGGAAAAUAAGACGACAUUAAGUAAAUAUUACAUUUUAAACAUUUAUAAUUAUACUAGUUUGAGGUUAUAAAGAAAAACUAUAAAAAAAAAUCGAUUUAAAGCUUAAAGUCGUAAAGCUAUACAAUAUGAUUUAUGUUUAAGCCUCUGAUAAUCAUUAGAAUUAAAAUAUAAAAGGGUUUAUUAGUACGUUGCUAUUAGAUAUAAUUUAACAAUUAUGGAAUAAUAUUUUGCAUAAAGGAAUUGCAUGCGGUCUGGUUUUAAGGAGUUUUAUAAAGGCAAAAUUUAAGAAAACUUGGUUUUAAUAAACUUUGACAAUGACGAUUAAUAUUCCAA